rnacentral:tRNA from 1 species
GGUUUUGUAUUCAAUAUAAUGAUUUUAAAUUGCAAAUUUAAAGGUGGGUAUUAUAAUCCCCAAAACUU